rnacentral:rRNA from 1 species
UACAGAGGUCUCAAGCGUUGUUCGGAUUCAUUGGGCGUAAAGGGUGCGUAGGUGGCGCGCUAAGUCAGGUGUGAAAUUUCGGAGCUUAACUCCGAAACUGCAUUGGAUACUAUCCGGCUCGAGGAAUGGAGGGGAGACUGGAAUACUUGGUGUAGCAGUGAAAUGCGUAGAUAUCAAGUGGAACACCAGUGGCGAAGGCGAGUCUCUGGACAUUUCCUGACGCUGAGGCACGAAAGCCAGGGGAGCAAACGGG